UUUCCUGAUUUGACAGGUUUCGUUCAAGUUUACAAGUGUCAUAAUUGAUGCCAUGGGUGUCACAGGAGUUGAACGCGUGUUCAGGAGAUGUUUUGAAGAAACUUAGUCGGUGAUGUGGACCAACGAAGAGGUGUUGCUCACGACUGUUGAAGUUUGUAUACAUGAUCCACUCUGCCAAUGGGCCUUGUCCUCUUGAAGGCUAUACAAAGGAAAAAAGGUGGACCAUGCCUUCUUUCUCUCUAGAUAAAAAAGCUGCUAGAAAUUUGCUCGACAAUGUACCUAUGUAACAAUUAGGAUCAUUUGACAGUGUUUCGUAUCAGCUCAUUGUUUUGUCAGGUGAAAAAAAUGGUGGAAAUCUAUAUUAAGCUUGUUGAACAUAAAUAAAGGAGAUAGGUUUGAUAAUUCUUUAGAAGUAAUAUUUGUUAUCCUUUUUGCGGAACCCAAAGAACAUUUUUGAAACAUAGAUUAAGCUCUUUCUCUUGGGGAUACCGAUAAAAAGGUAACUCUAUCAAGAGAAAUCCGUAGUGUUAAUCAGUUUAACGAAGAAUGAGGAAUGAAUAAACUUGUAUUUUCUAUCGCUUCAAUUUUCUUUGAGAUCCUAGUUUCAGAGGACCUUACAAUCUUUUUUUUCCAAUUACAAUUUGUUUAAAGGUUCUAACAUGCACUGUUUGAUAUGUUUUUCAGGUGGCUAAUGUUUGUUUCAUUUGUUCUAUUGGUUCCUGUGUACAGAACCUGCAUAUCUCUUUUUUCCCAGUAAACUGUUGCACGUGCCAUCCAGUUGCUAGUUCCUUCAACUGCACAGAUUCCUUGAUAUUUUUUUCUGUUUUAUACCUAAUGAGGUCUGUUUGAGAUUUGAUGAUGUUCUUAGUAUUUUUACCUAAUUCUGGUAAAGAAGCGCUAUGUUUGGUGUCACAGGAGUUGAACGCGUGUUCAGGAGAUGUUGUGAAGAAACUUAGUCAGUAACUGAACCACUAUCCGGAAAGUAAAAAUAUGAAUAGGAUACCGAAUACAUAAAUCUAAACCUAUCUAAUUGAAGGUUUUUAUACAUGAUCCUCUCUACCAAUGGGCCUUGUCCCUCUUGAAGGCUUUGCAAAGGCAAAAAAGGUACUUCAUAUCUUUAAAUAUGUUUUUGAUGGUAAAAGAAGAAAAUACAAUGCAUGUGCAUGCUUCCUUUGUGUGAAGGUUACGUAGACUAGAGAACCUCAUUUUACAUGAUUUGCCGGGAGAAAAAUGCCAGCAAAAAAGACUCUAUAUGGUAUUAGUUAUGUAUUCUUACUUGUAUUAGUAAGUUGGAUCCUUCUUGGUGUACAAUAAAUUAUAUCUCCAGUUCUUUGUAAAUUAGUCCCAUGCUUUCUGAUUUCACUAGAAGGCAUGUUUUAUGAAUUACUUCAAUUGAAUCCCAUAAGCUUUUUCUGGUGUGCUUUUGUUUUGUUCGGAUUUAUUGCAACCGUAUCAAUCAGGAUCUUCUUGUAUUCUUGUUUGACGUCAUCUGUGUGAACUUUCGUAGGUAAUUUGUGUAGUUUUAUUUCGAUAUCAGGUGGACCAUGCCUCCUUUCACUCGGGAAAAAAAAGCUGCUAGAAAUUUGCUCGCCAAUGUACAUAUGUAACAAUGUCUGUUUUUUCCUCAUCUUUGGUAUAUCACAGCAUUCUGAACUCUGCUAGUUUUAGGUGUUCAUAUGAUGGCCUAUUGUGGGUUUUGGGUAAGUCUCUGAUGAAUAUUUUUAUGUUUAUGCAGUUGGAUCGUUUUACCCUGUGUUUUGUAUCAUAUCAUUUUUUUGUCAGGUGAAACAAAUCGCGGAAAUUUAUAUUAAGCUUGUUGAGCUUAAAAAAAGGAGAGAGAUACCUAUAAAAAGGUAACUCUUCCUCGUGAAAUCCAUAGUGUUAAUCAGUUUAUUGAAGAAAGAGGAAUGAAUAAACUUGUUAUCGUGUGUACAGAACCUGUAUUUCUCUUUUUUCCCGGCAAACUGUAGCACUUGCCAUUCAAAAAUAGUGGACGACUUUCUUGAAAUGAUAAACAUUUUUCCACAGACAGGGUGAUCAUGUUUUACGAUUCGUUGUAGAAGUCCAGUACAAAACUUCAGCCGCAUUUCGCCAUCGGCAUACCCUUCAUCUUUUGGCUGCACUUGAAGUGCUUACUUGUACUCUUUGUCAUAGAGCUUCAGUUCCUAGUUCCUUCAACUGCGCAAAAUCCCAGAUAUUUUUUUUUUCUGCUGUUUUACCUAAUGAGUUCUGUUUGAGACCUGAUGAUAUCCUUAGUAUUUUCUUUUUCUCCACAUGUUAUUUGUGUAGUUUUUGCUAUUUUUAUUGUGACAUGCUCCAUCAACGCUGAGUCAAACAUCAAACAUUCUGGGCCAUCUCUAGCUUUUAAUUUGCUCCACAGGGUCAUUGUUGAUGCAGAUUCGUCUUUUUACGAUGAUGUCAGAGUAGGUGUUCUACACGCAGAGUUCAAAAUUCUGCUAUAUCAGGAUUUGGAGCCAUUCCUUGGCAUGGACAUUUUUAGAGUUGUUCGCGAAUUUCUAGUUGGGUUACGCGUUCUUCAUGGAACCAUCUAUUCAAGUAGGAUCAUUUUACACUGUGUUUCGUAUCAGCUCAUUUUUUUUGUCAGGCGAGACAAAUGGUGGAAAUCUAUAUUAAGCUUGUUGAGCUUUAAAAAAGGAGAGAGGUUUGAUAAUUCCUUAGAAAUAGUAUUUGUUAUCCUUUUUCUGAGCCCAAAGAACAUUUCUGAAACAUAGAUUAAGCUCUUACUCUUGAGGAUACCGAUAAAAAGGCAACUCUAUCAACAGAAAUCCAUAGUGUUAAUCAGCUUAACAAAGAAUGAGGAAUGAAUAAACUUAUAUUUAUUCACUUCAAUUUUCUUUGAGAUCCUAGUUUCAGAGGACCUUACAAUAUUUUUUUUCUCCAAUUACAAUUUGUUUAAAGUUUCUAACAUGCACUGUUUUAUACGUUUUUCAGGUGGCUAAUGUUUGUUUCAUUUGUUCUAUUGGUUCCUGUGUACAUAUCCUGCAUAUCUCUUUUUUCCCGGUAAAGUGUUGCACGUGCCAUUCUGUUGCUAGUUCCUUCAACUGCGCAGAAUCCUAGAUAUUUUUUCUGUUUUUUACCUAAUGAGGUCUGUUUAAGAUCUGAUGAUAUUCUUAAUGUUUUGUUUUUCUCCACGUGUUAUUUUUGUAGUUUUUGGUCUCAUUAUUGGUUACAUGUUGCAUCAACUCUGAAUCAAACAUCAAAGGUUCUGGGGCAUCUCUAGCUUUGAGUUUGCUCCGCAAGGUCAUUGUUCAUACAGAUUCGUCUCUUUACGAUUAUAUAAGAGUAGGUGUUCUUUACGCAGAGUUAACAAUUCUGGAAAAGAAGUUCUAUGUUUGGUUCCGCUGCCUGGAGAUCUUACUGCAGCUAAUAUUUUGAUACCGAUAAAAAGGUAACUCUACCAAGAGAAAUGUAAAUUUACUUGCUCACUAAUCGACUUUUCGUUUUUAAUUGGUUUCAUUCACUUCUUCUUUAUCUCUUUAUUGACAGGAUAAACAUUUUUCCGCAGAUAAGAAAUCCAGUACAAUUUUCAUGUUGAGUUCUGGUGAAACAAAUGGUGGAACUCUCUAUUAAGCUUGCUGAGCUUUUAACAAGGAGAGAGCUGAAAAUUUUGAAGAGAUACCUUCUUGACAAAUCCGUUAAGAUCAUAGAUUGUUCUCCUACAGCUGAAAAUUCACUCCUUACAGAAGCUCUUGAGGUCACUUGCUCAAGUUUUUACACAAAAUAUACUGACUAUGCAUGGAAUAUGCCAUUUCAAGUGUGUAUUGCCGUCAAAAUCAUCAGCACCUGAUUCUCCUGAUGUCAGUGGAAUCAUGGAUAUGGAUUUAGAUCUAACUGAAUAUACCAAAGGCAUCGAUAUUAUAGUUGAUUUCUCCUGGAUGCCAAACGAAAGACAGAGAAUCUUAUCAGGAACUCUUUUCACCUGAUUAAUUUGAUUUUCUGUUUCCCUUUCGUGCUCUAGUUUAUUCAGUGCUGAAGUAAUGUGCAGUUUCCUUGUUCAUCUUGGUGCAAUGGCGAAUAAAGAUGCUGAAUUUGGUCUCCUCGACUAGUUUUGGCGUGUCAGGCUGAUCAACUGCAUAUGCAAUGUUUUUAUUCCUCCUUAUUUUGUCAUUAAGUAGUGAGGUUACCCGUUUAAAAUUUCUUGCAUUUAAUUUUCAUGGUAGGUUUCAUGAAGAUAAAAAUAUGGCAUACUCUGGUUUUGGAGAGGAAACUUGACAUCUUCGUGUCACGAAAUUGUUCAAUCUAAGAAAAAACCUUUAGUAACGUACGGCUUCAAGGAAAGGAUUAAGGAGAAGUAGGCAAAUAGUCUUCCUGUUAUAUAUUUUUGUGCUUUUCCGUUUUGUUUCCUGCCAGUGACUGUGCUUCUACUUCUUUGUGUUUGAAUUUUUGCAGUAGUCGAUUUUUCUUAAAAGGUUUAGAUUGUUCGUUGCAUAUUUCAUGCUUCUGUUAAUUUCAUGUUUACUUUUUAGUUUAAUUAAAAUUAAUUUCUGUUUAAAUUUAUAUAGACAAUGAUUUAGAGACUUCUUUUGAUGUCAGAAAAUUGGUGGUGAGUUUCAUGUUUAUUUCUUUAGAGGUAGAACCGUUCAUGUUUCUUACUUCUAAGGUAGAACUUCUGUCGUAUCGAGGUUCGGGCCAGAGGGUUAGAUUGUUUUUAGAAAUUUGUUGUGGAAGAUGGAGAAAUAUGUUAUUCUACCUUUGUUGUGUAGAGAAAAUAUCUAGGGGUAAAAAAUAGAAUGGUCAUGUUGGUCCUGUUUUACAAAAGUUAAAUCUCCUCGCAUGUUUUCUGAUGCCAAGCUUCUACUCUACUAUAUGUGCUACGUGUUUAAUUUUAUGGUAAUCUUCUUUCCUUUUAAGUUCUUGUCAUUGUCAUGUUUUGCAUUGCGAGUACCACCCUCUAAGUAGCCAGUGUGUGAUUUGGACUCUAGAGUCGAUUUGUAAAUCGUAAACCGGAACAGAUCUGCAGUGAGUGUUUAUAAACAUUGUGUGGUCUGGAGUCGAUUUUUGGGGAUUAUAUCAUCAAUGGAAGUCCUUUGUCAAGGCUGAUGUUUGUGGGUCCCGUUUUUGGAAUUUUUUGUUACUGUAAAUAUUUUAAUUUCCCUUGUUUUAUGGGAAUUCUUUCAACUGAAAGAGGUCAGAGGACAUUAUCAUCUUUUGAUUCAUGUGAGUGAUCACUGAUUGAGGUGAGAUUUUUUUCUGUAAAUUUGCUUUUCCGCUUAUUUUUUCUUGCUACUGUCUGAGCUAUUCUCGCAUUACCAGAAUGGGUUCUUGGCAAAGGUAUAUUCUGCAUUAUGAUGAUUGGUCCAUUAAUGUGUAUGUGGUUGCAGUCUCCAAGCACUGCACAAAUUGUCGGUGCUAUUUGGACGAUUGUCCAUGUCUGCCUCAAUUGAAGCAGAUAAUAUAAGAUUGUUGGUGUCUUAUUUUGUA